GACGUAGGGCGCGAGCGUUGUCCGGAUUUAUUGGGCGUAAAGAGCUCGUAGGCGGCUUGUCGCGUCGUCCGUGAAAACUUGGGGCUCAACUCCAAGCUUGCGGUCGAUACGGGCAGGCUAGAGUUCGGUAGGGGAGACUGGAAUUCCUGGUGUAGCGGUGAAAUGCGCAGAUAUCAGGAGGAACACCGGUGGCGAAGGCGGUUCUCUGAGAAUGUCCUGACGCUGAGGAGCGAAAGUGUGGGGAGCGAACAGG
rnacentral:rRNA from 1 species